rnacentral:rRNA from 1 species
AUUGAUGUGUCAGAUGAACCUGACCUACCUGUGUGGUCUUUGGAGGCAAAUGGAAUCUUCUCGGUAAAAUCCUUUUAUAAAAAGAUCAACUUUUGUGGAGUGGCAUCUCAGAUUGGGGGAAAUCUUUGGAAAGUUCUUUGCCCCCAAAAGAUCCAUGUCUUCAUUUGGCUUGGAGUGUACAAUAAACUGCUUACUAGAGAUAACUUGGCCAAAAGAAGACAUGUUGAUGAUCUAACCUGUCUUUUUUGUUCUGAAAAUGAGAUUGUGCACCAUCUGUUCUUUGAUUGUGUUGUUGCAAAACAGGUUUGGCCAUUUGUAACUGAUUGCUUUGAUUACCCAUCCAUUUCUAGCUUUGAUGAUGUUAGUGCUUUGUGGCAUAUGUGCAAAAGGAAACCUGUACUAAAUCUUAUUGUGGCUGCAUCCUUGUGGAGCCUCUGGAAACUGAGAAACGAGUUUUGUUUUCAGGGUCGUGCCUGGAGAAAUGCCAACUGCAGUCUUGCAAAACUAAGGUCCCAUCUUCAAUAA